AACUAUCGGCAACGGAUAUCUUGACUCUCGCAUUGAUGAAGAACGCAGCAAAAUACGAUACUUGGUAUGAAUUGCAGAAUCCCUUGAACCAUCGAGUUUUUAAAAGCAAGUUGCACUGGAGGCCAUUAUGCCGAGGGCACGACUGCCUGGGCAUCA
rnacentral:rRNA from 1 species